rnacentral:rRNA from 1 species
CCUACGGGGAGCAGCAGUGGGGGAUAUUGCACAAUGGGGGGAACCCUGAUGCAGCGACGCCGCGUGGGUGAAGGAGUGCUUCGGCAUGUAAAGCCCUAUCGGCAGGGAAGAAGCAAGACGGUACCUGACGAAGACGCCCCGGCUAACUACGUGCCAGCAGCCGCGGUAAUCCGUAGGGGGCGAGCGUUAUCCGGAUUCACGGGGUGUACAGGGAGCGUAGACGGCCAUGCAAGCCAGGGGUGAAAGCCCGGGGCCCAACCCCGGGACUGCCCUUGGAACUGCAUGGCUGGAGUGCGGGAGGGGCAGGCGGAAUUCCUGGUGUAGCGGUGAAAUGCGUAGAUAUCAGGAGGAACACCGGCGGCGAAGGCGGCCGGCUGGACCGCGACUGACGUUGAGGCUCGAAAGCGUGGGGAGCGAACAGGAUUAGAUACCCUGUAGUC